rnacentral:tRNA from 1 species
AAUGGAAUGCCUGAACUUAAAGGAUUGUUUUGAUAGGACAAACCAUGCAUUUAUACGCUUUCAUUA